CAUGCCUGCAGAGACCGGAAGAGAGUGCUUCCGGCCGCGAUGCGUCGCUCUGAAGGAAGCUAGCUUGAUAUCUCCCCUUUUCAGCGUGCUUGACAUUCAUCUCCAGCACACUGAAUAACAGCCACCCGGCAGUCAACUUUAAGGGUAACUUAGAGAGCCUCUUUCUGCUGAACCCUUAUCUCUCUAACUGCAGGACCUGCCCAAAGGGGUGUAUGUGUACACGUACCAAUGGAAUCUGAAUAAAUGUAAAGGACACAAGGGAGAAAAAUCAUGACUGAAGUAGCAAGAAGAGACAACCAGCUGACCUCCGUGUGUGAUGACCCGGAGGUAGGGUCUGAUGACCUGCAUGUCAAUACGAUGCUCCUGUUCUCCGAUGAUCACCGUCCUCCAGAGGCGUCCGUUGUUGACGUUCCCCUCCUCGUCCGCUUCUCCUGAGCCACCAGCAGGACCACCUGCUUUGGCCGAGGCCACCGGUGUGUCAUCUGGACAGACACAGAGACAGGUUUUGUUCUUAAAGGGCUCUGUCGUCUGUCAGACCACAAGAGGGAUCCAUGUCUCCGUACUCUGGUAGUGGUCUGGAGGGAAACACACACAGGAGGACAGUGCGUGCUCAACAACACUGGCUUCAGCCCAGAGAAACAGACACAGAUGAACGGUUCGACCCUUUUCCCCCCCGAGGACCCCUGCAGUGAUUACUAGUCCAACGCUUCCUUUGUCAGGAAUGAAAGCCAAUUCUAUGAACAGAUUUAUGGGGAUUUCUUCUUUUAACAAAAGCAAGAUAAUCUCUUUUGUUCCUGUUUAUGACUGCAUUGUCCUUCAGCUACAAUAUCAGGAUGAAUCGAUGAUGCUUACCUUCUGGAAAUAGCACUGGGCUGCUGUUGUCAAAUAGC